CGGACCUGGUCUCUUCUUCUGCUUCUACCGGCGAAACGCGACGGCGGCCGAGAUCCGCGCCGCGCAGCCUCGCCGCCGCGUUCGACGAGGGAGCUAGCGUGAUUCUGGGAUGUUUGGGAUGCGGGCCAGCGGCGCGGCAACUCCGCGGGUGGUGAGGCGGACGCGCACCUCCACAACGACCCGGGCGAUGCCGCCGUCCCGGCGCUCCUCGACUCCCGCUUCGACGGCGACAAGUUCGACGCGCCUAAGCACCUUCUCGCCCUCAUCUCUCCACGCAGGAAAUAGCAAGCUACAUGGGUCUAGAACUUGGGGAGAUUAACAUAAAAGUUUGCUGAUGGAGAAAUAUAUGUUCAAUUGCAAGAAAGUGCAAGGGGCUGCCAUGUGUUCCUUGUGCAGACAUCAUGUCCUCCAGCCUCAUGGAGCUACUCAUCAUGAUUGAUGCGUGUAUAAGAUCAUCUGCUAAGAAGAUUACUGCAGUUAUCCCUUAUUUCGGUUAUGCCAGGGCUGAAAGGAAGUCUUAAGGUCGUGAAUCUAUGGCUGCAAAACUUGUAGCUAAUAUGAUUACGGAAGCUGGUGCAAACCGUGUCCUUGUUUGUGAUCUUCAUUCAAGUCAGGCCACGGGAUAUUUUGGCAUCCCAGUAGAUCAUGUUUAUGGCCAGGCAAUGAAUCUGAUUGGAGAUGUUAAGAGGAAAAGUGUCUGUUAUGAUGGAUGAUAUGAUUGAUACAGCAGCCACCCGCCAUCGAGAGAUUAUCAAGUGGUUUGUUUCAAGAAGCAAAGCAAUUCACGAACACUAUCCCUUCGAAGAAGAAUUGAAGACUUUGCUGAGCGAGGCAAGCAACCUACUUUGAUCUCGUUGAGCCCAUAUUUGCAUUACACACUUAAAAUUAUUUUGCAUGCAUAAAGUAUUGUUUACUAGUAUUGCUAUGCUAAGUAAAUUAGCUAGGGUUUAGCUAUGCUCUAUGUGCUUGAUAUUGACACCCCCUUUGGCAUUCUUAAUACCCCUCCUUUCUAACCGGAGGACUACAUACCCACUGGUCACAAAUAAAUGUGGGUCAUAGGUGCAAGUUUAAUAGUGCAAGUCUACAUACCCCAAUAUGGGACGAGACUAAACUUAGUACCUUGGUAUGUCUAGUGUAGAGCCCUCGCUAGGUGGAUACCCUGUACACCGUGACGAGAGUGGACAAAUAUCAAUCAUUGGAAACUAUGUAUCAUCAGGUGGACUCUAUACUUGCAUCGUUCUUGAGAAAAGUUUUGUUCGAUUGUUCAAAUCGUAUAGACCUAUCACCAAAAGACCUUCAAGAUGCAAAAGUUUGCAUCUUCAAUUGUACAAAGUGCAACUUAGUCAGAGUUUCUCCUCUCUCAAGCUUAAGCCUUUCUUUGAACCGAACCUAUCCCAAGAAACCCAGCCUAGCUAUCAAGGAUGUGAGAUAGCAUGGGCUUAUAUCGAUGUACUUAACUUAUGGAAUUGCAAGAGGGCCCAUUAAGCACCAACAACUUUUGAUUGGAAUGAAGUCCUACAUGAGAUUGUGAUUUUGUGAGUCAAUCAUGUUACAUCCUUGAGCUCCCAAUAUGCACCAAGUUGGGUUGCCAUAUAGAAACGGUUUUCGUCAGUUAGAAGAUGAGGUAGUUUGAUGGUGAUGUAGAAGUGAUAUUGAGGAGAUGGUAGUCAAAGAUGUACGGUGGAUUAUGAGAUUUUAGGGCUAGUAGGUGAGUAUGACGAUUCUUAUAUUGAUGGAUAACAUAUCUUUAAUUAAUCUUAAAACAAUUUAGAUUUGUUUGGUGAUUGUGAUCUUGAAGAAAAUUUCACGGUGGAUUAUGAGAUUUCAUGUGGAUUUAGUUCGGUGAUUGUGAUCUUGAGGAGAUAGUUAAAAAUGUUUGGUGCAUUAUGAGAUUUUAGAGCUAGUAAGUGAGCAUGAUGAUUAUUAUAUUGUUUGAUAAACAUAUAUUUAAUUAAUCUGUGAACAAUUUGGCUUUAGUUUGGUGAUUGUGAUUUUUAACUAAAUUUCAUGGUGAUUACGGGAUUUUAGUCUACUAUGUGAGCAUGGUGAUUAUUAUAUUGUUGAAUAAUGAAUCUUCAAUUAAUAUUACAAUUAAUGUAUUUACUUAGGUGAUCGUGAUUUUGAACCAAAUUUUAGGGAGCAUUAUGAGAUUUUAGGUGGAUUUAGUUACGUGAUUGUGCUCUGUAGGAGAUAGUCAAAGAUGUUUGGUGGAUUAUGAGAUUUUAGGGCUAGUCGGUGAGCAUGAUGAUUAUUCUAUUUGUGGACAAAUAGAUAUUUAUUAAUAUUGGAGCAAUAUAAAUUUAGUUUGGUGUUUGUGAUUCUGAACCAAAUUUCAUGGUGGGUUAUGAUAUCUUAGCCUGGAUUUAGUAAGAUGAUUGUGGUCUUGAGAAGAUAGUCAAAGAUGUUUGAUGGAUUAUGAGAUUUUAAGUCUAGUAUGAGCAUGGCUAUAUUAUAUUGGUUGAUAAACAUAUCUUCCAUCAAUCUUGGAACAAUUUAGAUUUAGUUAGGUGAUUGUCAUCUUGAAGCAAAUUUGACGAUGGAUUAUGAGUUUUUGUGCCUCUACUUAGGUGAUUGUGAUCUUGAGGAGAUAGUCAAAGAUUUAUGGUGAAUUAUGAGAUUUUAGGUCUAGUAUGAGCAUGACUACUAUUAUAUUGGUGAAUAAACAUGUUCCCAAUUAAUCUAGGAUUAAUUUGGAUUUUUAUGUGAUUUUGAUCUUGAUGCAAAUUCGAUGAUGAAUUAUGAAUUUUUAAUGGAUCUAAUUAGGUGCUUGUGAUCUUGAGGAGAUAGUAAAAAAUGUUCGGUGGAUUAUAAGAUUUUAGGUCUAGUACAUGAGAAUGGUGAUUAUUUUAUUGGUGGAUAAACAAAUCUUCAAUUAAUUUUGGAACACUUUAGAUUUAGUUAGGUGAUUGUGAUUUUGAACCAAAUUUCACAAUAGAUUAUGAUAUCUUAGCCUGAAUUUAAUUAGGUGAUUGUCAUCUUUUUUUUUUUGAUUGAACACUGUGACUCUGUGAGGCAAAAGCCCCACAACCAUUUAUUAAAAAAAGAGAUCCAAAGUCAUACAGAAAUAAAGGGCUAACUAGGCUAUUUACAAGGGGUACAAGUCCGUUACCUAAUUACAAUUGAUAUCAUCCAAGAAUCAUGGCAGGGUACUGAUCCAAUGUAAAAGCAGAGGCUUGACAACAGGCUUCAUUCAAUGGGAGUGUAAAGAAAUAUCAUGGAUGAAUUUGGCUCUCCAAGUGCCAAAAGUGGGUCUCUGAUGCUUGAAAAUUUAUCAUUUUUGGUAGUCAAGAUACUCCAUGCAGCCAGGAAAACAACCUCAAAGAAGAAAGGUUCCUGGAACCCUCUUUUAGCAGCCAUUAUUAUACACUCUUUUGUAGAUAGACUGGCAUACCGCUGAAUCUGCAAAUAAUUCCAGACUCUGGUACUGAAAUUACACUUAAAGAACAGGUGAUUGUCAUCUUGAGAAGGUAGUCAAAUAUGUUCAAUGGAUUGUGAGAUUUCAGUUAUAGGAUGAGCAUUUCUACUAUUAUAUGAAUAAAUAAACAUAUCUUCAGUUAAUCUUGGAACAAUUUGGAUUUAUUUAGGUGAUUGUCAUCUUGAAGCAAAUUUGAUGAUGGAUUAUGAGGUUUUGAUGGAUUUAGUUAGGUGAUCUUGAGUAGAUAGACAGAGAUGUUCGUGGUUUUAGGUCUAGUAUGAGCAUGACUACUACUAUAUUGGUUGGUAAACAUAUUUUCAAUUACAAACAACAACAACAACAAAGCCUUUAGUUCCAAGCAAGUUGGGGUAGGCUAGAGGUGAAACCCAUAAGA